UACGGGGGGGGGCAAGCGUUGUUCGGAAUUACUGGGCGUAAAGGGCGUGUAGGCGGCUUUUCAAGUCGGGCGUGAAAUCUCCGGGCUUAACCUGGAAGCGUCGUUCGAUACUGUUGAGCUAGAGUGUGGAAGAGGCUACUGGAAUUCCGUGUGUAGCGGUGAAAUGCGUAGAUAUCGGAAGGAACACCGGUGGCGAAAGCGGCGCGCUGGAUCUCUACUGACGCUGAGGCGCGAAAGCCAGGGGAGCAAACGGG
rnacentral:rRNA from 1 species